UUUCUUAGCACAUAGCCAACCUACAAACACCCACUAAGAAGAAGAAACACCAAACAAAAUAUGGCAGCCUCACUGCAAGCAGCAGCUACACUUAUGCAACCAACUAAGGUUGGCGGUGUUCCUUCUUCCAGGGCUACCCUUCAACUUAGAUCUUCUCAAAGUGUUUCCAAGGCUUUUGGGUUGGAGCCAGCUAGUGCUAGGAUCACUUGCUCUUUGCAAUCCGACCUUAAGGAUUUGGCUCAAAAGUGUGUUGAUGCUACUAAGAUUGCUGGUUUUGCUCUUGCUACUUCUGCUCUCGUCGUCUCGGUAUGUUCUUUCUUUUUUCCCAAUUCAUGAUUGUUAGUCUCUCAGGUUCAGCUACUUUGAGUAGUUUAAUGAACUUGAUCACUAAAUUCGAGGAGAAUUAUGUAUGAUUUACUAAUGCUUAACAUGUUAGAACUUUCUUUGGUUUGUAAUAUGCUGUAGUACUAUAAUUCUGUCACUACUGUAAAUUAAUAUAUGUUAUCAGUAGUUGAGUUCCCAUAACUAUCUUCAAUCAAUUUUCAGAAAUAUGUUACUCGAAUAUAACAUAGUCCUAUAACAUAGACAUGGGUUCAGAGACAACGUACGAAUGUUCUCUCAUAAUGCAUUUCGUGUAGACUAUCUAACAACCUGUUAUCUGUGGUGUGGCCAUUGAAAAUCAUUGCUAAUAAUUCGCCAUUUAGCAGAUAGCAGUUUAUAUUGUUAAUUUAUACGGUGAGACCUUGUGCAAUUAAGCAAGAACAAACUACCCUCUGUCGUGCAUCAUUUUUCCCUCAACUAUUAAACAUUAAUAAUUGUUAGUUAUUAACAUCGAAACCUAUUAAUGGACACUUGCGUAAUUCAGGGAGCAAGUGCUGAGGGAGUUCCAAAGAGGCUAACCUUUGAUGAAAUCCAAAGCAAAACAUACAUGGAAGUUAAAGGAACAGGAACGGCUAACCAGUGCCCAACAAUUGAUGGUGGACUAGACAAAUUUUCAUUCAAAGCAGGCAAAUACAAUGCAAAGAAAUUCUGCCUAGAGCCAACCUCAUUCACAGUCAAAGCAGAAAGUGUAAACAAGAAUGCACCACCUGAAUUCCAAAACACUAAACUAAUGACACGUUUAACCUACACUCUCGACGAAAUUGAAGGACCCUUCGAAGUCGGUCCUGAUGGAACUGUCAAAUUUGAAGAGAAAGAUGGUAUUGAUUAUGCUGCUGUGACAGUGCA
rnacentral:lncRNA from 1 species